ACCCCAAAUGCGACAAAGGUCCCCGAUCGACCCCAACUGGGCUCCACUACUGAUCAACUAGAACGAAACAACACAAAGGGCAAGAUCUUCAUCGAGCUCCUCCUUGAGCUUGGUUGCGUCACCUGUUCGGUAACAUAGGCACCUGCAAACUGGUUUUUGGAAGUAUCUGGUGAGCCACGGGGACUCAGCAAUCUCGCACCCGCGAGAUCAAGACUAUUUAAGCUUAUAGGAAGGAUGGAGUAAUGAGGUGGAGCUGCAGCAAGCGACUAGCAUAUAUGGUGGCUAACAUACGCAAAUGAGAGCGAGAAGAGAAGGCAAAGCACGGUCGAUAAAAGUAUGAUCAAGAAGUGAUCCUAUAGCAACCUACGUCAAGCAUAACUCCAACACCGUGUUCACUUCCCGGACUCCGCCGGAAAGAGACCAUCACGGUUACACACACGGUUGAUGUAUUUUAAUCAAGGUCAACUUCGGGUUUUCUACAACCGGACGUUAACAAAUUCCCAUCUGCCACAUAACCGCGGGCACGGCUUUCGAAAGAUAAUACCCUGCAGGGGUGUCCCAACUUAGCCCAUNNNNNNNNNNNNNNNNNNNNNNNNNNNNNNNNNNNNNNNNNNNNNNNNNNNNNNNNNNNNNNNNNNNNNNNNNNNNNNNNNNNNNNNNNNNNNNNNNNNNNNNNNNNNNNNNNNNNGGAACAAAACACCAGGCAUAAGGCCGAGCCUUCCACCCUUUACCAAGUAUAUAGAUGCAUUAAUUAAGUAAGAUAUAUUGUGAUAUCCCAACAAGUAAACAUGUUCCAACAAGGAACAACAUCUCCAUGUUCCAACAAGGAACAAACUUCAAUCUUCACCUGCAACUAACAACGCUAUAAGAGGGGCUGAGCAAAGCGGUAACAUAGCCAAUCAACGGUUUGCUAGGACAUGGUGGGUUAAAGGUUUGACAUGGCAAUUUGGGAGGCUGACAAGCAAAUGGUAGGCAUCGUAGCAUUGGCAUAGCAAAGAGCGAGCAAACUAGCAUAGCAAAGAUAGUAGUGAUUUCGAGGGUAUGAUCAUCUUGCCUGAGAUCCCGCAAGGAAGAAGAACGAAUCCAAGAAGGAGACAAACGGUCGUAGUUGAACGGAUCCUCACAAACGCGACGUUAUCGGAACCAGCCCGAAGAAGCAAUCACCGGAAAAGAAGCACACAACAUAGUAAAUAACCAACACAUCAACAUGGCAUGAUGCACAAACGAGUAUGAUGCAUGUCCGGUUUAAUGAGGCAUGGCAUGGCAAAGUGCAACAAACAAUACUACAAGUUAAGUGGAGCUCAAUAUGCAACGAGGUGCAUGUUGACGGAACACCACAUCAAUUAUUUAGUUAUCUCUCGUUUAAGCUACCCAACAAUAUUAACUGUUGUUAAACAUGGCAAGAGGUGAAGCAUAAUAUAAACUAUACCAUCUAAACAAUUUAAAUGGGGCCGGAUAUAAAAACAACAAAUCCGGUAAAUCCCCAUAUGCAUUUAGCAAUUUAGAGCAAGCAACAAGUUUAAACUUUUAAUUGUUGUUAUCAUGAUGCGGAUGACCUAUACAAGUUUUAUGCAAUUUUAUGAAAAUGUUGACAUGAGCAUGUUAAGGAGCAUUUGGUCACCAUGGCGGAAGAAAGGAGUGCCAGGGCAACGAAUCCAAAAAUGAUGCCACGGCAACAUAUCGGUCCCGGUAACUCAUGGAGAUACCGGUGCAAAAGGAGGCGUGCGGAUGCGUGCAUGGAUGGUGGGGUGAUCCCGGAUUCCGGGUGUCCCACAUAAUGGUGGCGUGGCUUACGGCGAACGUGCAAGGAACAAUUCGGACAUGGUGCAAACACGGGCAUCUCAUUCAACACAUGCAUUAGGUCACGGGCGUCGUCUCGGCGUUAUACCUUCGAAGCGUGCGUUCGGGGCGGAACGUGUUCGUAGAGGGAAGUAGACGUUCACGGGUCGACGGUAGUGGUACAUCUCGUAGACGUUCACGGGUCGUCGUGGAGGUAGACGUUCACGGGCGUCGUGGAAGUAGUGGUACACGUUCGUUUUUCGGAGAGGUACUUGACGAAUCCAACAUCUUCGGGGCGACGGUAGUGGUUCACGGACGUCGUGGAAGUAGUUGUUCUUGUAGCAGUCGUGGAAGUAGACGUUCACGUUUGGAGAGGAACUUGUCGCAACCAAGUCCUUCGGGGCUCGUCGGUAGUGGUACUUGGCGAAAUGCACGUCGACGGUAGUCGUUCUAGGCAGGAAACAGUAGUUGUACACGGGUCUUCGGCGUCGAGGUACUUGGUGUUCCAAAACAGAGCAACACCAAAAGGCCUAGGGUCUUGGCGAUGUAGAUGAACACGAGGUCCUGCCCGGGGCUGGUCUUGGCCUUGGCGUUCCUGGUCGAUGAGGGCGAGCGGAGGCGCAUCCUCCUCCCUGCUCGAACAAGGCAGAGGCGGGGCAUGGGGCUGCUCCUGCAAAGGGGCGACGGGAGCCGG
rnacentral:lncRNA from 1 species